GGGAGUUCCCAUUGUGGCUCAGCAAAAAUGAAUCUCACUAAGAACCAUGAAGACUCAGGUUUGAUCCCUGGCCUUGCUCAAUGGGUUAAGGAUCCGGUGUUGCCAUAGCUUGUGGUAUAGGUCUCGGACGCAGCUUGGAUCUGGCAUUGCUGUGGCUGUGGUGUAGACUGUGGCUACGGUUCUGAUUAGACCCCUAGUCUAGAACAUCCAUAUGCUGCUGGUACAGCCCUAAAAAGACCAAAUAAAUAAAUAAAAAUAAAAUUAUAUAUGCUUUAUUCGGUUCUAACUUUUAAAAAUGAAAACCCGGAGUUCCCGUCGUGGCGCAGUGGUUAACGAAUCUGGCUAGGAACCAUGAAGUUGCGGGUUCGAUUCUUAACCCACUGAACGAGGCCAGAGGUUGAACUCGCAUCCUCCUAGAGACGUCAGGUCCUUAACCUGCUGAGCUGCAACAGGAACUCCUCAAUGCAGUUUUAUAAAGAUGUAGUGCCACUUUCCUCUUUUGUUAAAAAGUUUUAAGGAGAAAAACUCAAGGAGCCACACACUUGUUUGGAGCCUAAGUAUUUGGGGAAAGUUUAGUUCUAAAUUUUAUUUGAGUACAAUAAAGUUAAUGACAUGUUUAAUGAUAUACGUAAGUAUUACAGUGAGUUAAUUGGCUCUAAAUCAUAGUUAUUAAUUAUAGUCAUUUAGGUUAGUUACUCAAAUCAAAUUGUAAGAUCUCGCUUCUAUAAUUAUCAUUUUGAUGUGCUUUUCAGUUUACAUAGAACUUUGUACAUGUGUUCAUUGAUGUACAAACUGGGACACCUCAUGGCUCUUUCUUCCCUUGUGGCCUUGGGUCCCUCUUGUGCCCUCUUCCCAAUACCCUCCUUUGUUCCCCUUACCUUCUUUUCUCUUGUUUUCUUUCCUUCCUGUCCAUUCCUGACCCCCAACUCAAGACUUCUUUGCCAAUAUUACCGUCCUGAUUCUCAUCCCUUGGCCUCUUGGUACAGCGGCAACUUCUCCCUGUCUUGGAAAGUGGUGAUACGGGGCCACCAUCCUGUGGGAACGGAGUUUGGAAAAUUCAGGCCCAAAUGAGUGGUAAGCAGAGAGGAGGACAUGGUGAGCUGAGGAUCGAUGCAGCGGCAUAUCAAGCCCCUUUGCUAAGUGAGGAGGAAGGUUAGGCUUCCAGAAGCAGAGGGAAGAGGCGAGUGGGGAGUGGUCUUCCUUUAAGGAGGGAAGAGAAGAGUCAGGUCUGACCGUCCGUUUGAAAAGCUGUCUUCUCCGCCCUGUGUGCCCUGGAAGUAGGUGUCCUGCCUCUUUGGAUGGAUGGCAUACUAUGAGGAUAAUGAUGGCCGUGACCGCCAUUGUGCAUUGUGCGGUGUGUGCUGUGCUGGGGUUUUACUGGAUCAGCUCAACAGCUCUGGGAGGCAAGUGGAAUCAUAGCCCCAUUUUCAAGGAGGGAUGGCUGAGGCCUAGAGAGGCUUCGUGCACGCAGGGCACACGUGAUAGAGAGCAGAGCAUGACACGAACUCAUGUUUGCCCAGCUUCAGAGCCUUUACUCGAAACCGUGUUCUCUCUUGCUGUGCGGAUGUGGGCAAGUCAUUUAAUCCCUCUGACGUGCUCUUUUCCCACCUGUAGACCAGAGUAGCAGUAAAGGUGACAGCAGGCCUCCCAAGACCCCUCCCUUACUGAUGGUGCUCAGGGAAGAGUCGUGAGACUUUUUCUGGGUCAUUUCUCGUGAGAGGAGCUAUUUGUCUAAAUGGCUGAAGAACAUAUGCCUUUGGGUAUUUCCUAGUUAGAGUAAGACGAGGGAAGCCCAAGUCCAUGAUGCCAUUUUUCCUUUUGUCCUCUCCCACAUCACACACACACACAUCACACAUCACACACACACACACACACACUCUCACACACAGCAUCUCCCCAUCUGCUUACUGACGACUGGACUUCCUCUUCAAGAGAAAACAUCUUGUAAAAUCUGUAAUUACAGAUAAAAGAGUUAAACUGCAUCCCUUGAGGUGAGUUUUAGUCCCAAGUACAGGUGGUUGAAAUUUGAUCCUUUCCUGGGUAAGUUAAUGGCGGGGAGAGCCUAUGGUUGUCCUAGUUUCUGCAUCAGUAAACAGAAGCUUAGAGGUAAUUCCAACAUCUGCAGCCAAGUCUGCUUGCAACUUAAGUGAGACCACAAAGCAGUGUUUUUACAGAAGCAUACCACUACAGUUGAGUUUAUGGAAAAUUGGACAGCAGUACUGAAAAAUAUAUUUAAAGAUCAAAGGAGAAGCAUUUGCUUAUGAUUAGUUUGAUUUAUACUAAACCUGACCCAGGAGCCUUCUGUGACUGCUUCCUUCCUACACAUUAUGAAUUUAUGAAAUACACACACACUUAUGGCUGUCAUAUAAUAUGUACAAGAUUUACUGAUGACAGAGAGUUAUUAUUGCUUCAAACAAACGCAAGCUGCUUAGACUUGCAAGAACAAAGGAAAAAA
ensembl:lncRNA